AGCGAACGCUGGCGGCAGGCCUAACACAUGCAAGUCGAACGAACCUUUCGGGGUUAGUGGCGGACGGGUGAGUAACACGUGGGAACGUGCCUUUAGGUUCGGAAUAACUCAGGGAAACUUGUGCUAAUACCGAAUGUGCCCUUCGGGGGAAAGAUUAAUCGCCUUUAGAGCGGCCCGCGUCUGAUUAGCUAGUUGGUUGAGGUAAUGGCUCACCAAGGCGACGAUCAGUAGCUGGUCUGAGAGGAUGAUCAGCCACAUUGGGACUGAGACACGGCCCAAACUCCUACGGGAGGCAGCAGUGGGGAAUCUUGCGCAAUGGGCGAAAGCCUGACGCAGCCAUGCCGCGUGAAUGAUGAAGGUCUUAGGAUUGUAAAAUUCUUUCACCGGGGACGAUAAUGACGGUACUCGGAGAAGAAGCCCCGGCUAACUUCGUG
rnacentral:rRNA from 1 species